CUCUUUCUAGCCACAAGUCUGAAGAUUUUGUACAUUAGAUUUUGAUAUAAUUUUUAUCAGGUCGUCAUGUGGAUGUUUCUUGCAUGGUGAUGCCUAUUGGUGACCUGGUUAGGACAGUGGUGUUUCAUAGAUUAAAUUUUAGUCAUGCUUCCUCCUUUUAACUUUCUGGAAUUUUGUGAAAAAGUCGUGUAUAGAAUUUAUCACCCAAUUCAUUCGAUUUCCUUGUGCCAUUUGUUCUCUGCAAAAGCUUGACAAAGGUGACUGUGCUGGUGCUCCGCAAUUCAAGCUGUUUUAAUAGUGGAGAGCAUUUCCCUCGGCCUGCCUCUCUCUCUUCCUGACCUCUCUGCUGUGGCAUUCAUUAAACUCCAGAUCCUGGCUCAAGUCAAAGAGUUCAGAUCUCCUCCUUGGCUAAAGAACUCUGCAUUGUGGCUUUGCUUUGAACUUCAGCUCCUCCGAGUGCAAGGGUCACAUGUGAAUUUGUUAUGCUUCCUGGCACAUGUUUCAUAGUAAAUGGAUCCGAUGAAAUUCUCAGGGAGUAUUUGUUUUUUAGUGUUGCUCUAAUACACAAUAAAUUGUAAUUUACGAGGCAUAAUUGAAGAAAAUUCUGGAGGAAGUUGUGUAUAAGAUUAGGGGGAUUAUUAAAUCAACUUUAUUGUGUUUUCAAAACUUAAAAAUGGUUUACAGCCAUAAUAAAUUGCUUGAGAGUGCUAUCAACCCAUAAAUUUUAAUAAUUUAAUAAACAUUCUGCAGUUAAGUUGGGCUUGUAGCCAAAUCCCAGGGCUGGUUUUGUGUCAUGUAUAGUAAUGUGUGUUUUAGCUUACCUGGGUGAUAAAGGAAUGAGCUGUUCUCAUGCAGGACACGCAGUGAUGGGUCAUUAAUUUUAAUGAACUAAAACUGGGAACUGGAGUUUGAAGCCAGAGGGGGAAUUCAGCUCUGCUGCCCAUCCCCCCUGGGUACCUCAUUGCUUCCAUCUCAUACUUUUAAGGAAAGACGCCAACUUUAUUUCCUCCAGCCCCAAUUCUUUGAAAAAGGAUAAGAAAACCAAUCUCUGAUCCACUUCCAGUUUGGGAGCGGUUAACUACAUUGCUAAAAAUUGUCU